GGCCAGUUAGCUCGGUCAGUUGAGCAUAGCGCUAACAACGCUAAGGUUGCGGGUUCAAUUCCCGUUCAGUCUC
rnacentral:tRNA from 1 species